AAUAACUUGCCUGAAACUGCUCAUACAAUUUCUUCUAAAAGUGGAGCAAGAGUUCAUCUUGUCUUGUUCUGGGAUUGUCAGAUCUGAACACAUUGCCCUCCAAUUCUCUGGUUUCUAGAACAGACGAGGCUGCCACUCAACACCAAAACUAAGAGAAGGAUUGAGGCCUCUGAGUUUUCUGCUUGUGCAACAAGACGAUCUGCUUGAGGAAGAGAAGUCAUGGGCCACUCAUUAAGACAGCCAGUCCCAGGGGAAAGAGAAAUGGGUGAGGCCUGGGAUGUAGGAGCUCCUUCUGGCUCUGUCGCUGGCUUACUGCUAUACCUGGGACAAAGAAUGACUUCCUUAAGCCCGUUGUGCUCACCUAUAAACUGGCAACUAUGCGAUCUGACCUGCUCAUCUCAUGGAAUUGUUGCAAGACUCAAAUGAUCAAGCAAGUUUUCUAGGAAACAUCUGGAAAGAGGCAGCCCAAACUGUUCAGAAUGGCUUCUCUAGGGAAGAGGAUAUGGGAGCGAAUGGAGAGAACUGCGGUUAUUCCGCUUUUGUCUUCGAUUAAUUCUGAUCUUGUUUCCAAAUGUUUUAACAAAUACGGAUUCCUUUUGUGAUUGAAAAAGUUUGUAGGCCAGGCAUGGUGGCUCUCACACUUGUAAUCCCAGCACUUUGGGAGGCCGAGGCAGGAGGAUUGUUUGAGCCUAGGAGUUUGAGACCAGCCUGGGCAAUGUAGCAGGACCCCAUCUCUAAUUUGAAUAAUAAAAAAUAGGCCAGCACGGUGGCUAAUACCUGUAAUUCCAACACUUUGGGAGGCUGAGGUGAGAGGAUCCCUUGAGCUCAGUAGUCUGAGACCGGCCUGGGCAACAGAGUGGAACCCCAUGUCUGUAAGUAAUUUUAAAAAUUAGCUGGGCAGUCGGGCGUGGUGGCUCAGCGUGUAAUCCCAGCACUUUGGGAGGCCGAGGCGGGCAGAUCAUGAGGUCAGGAGAUCGAGACCAUCCUGGCUAACACGGUGGAACCCCCGUCUCUACUAAAAAUACAAAAAAAUUAGCUGGGCGUGGUGGCGG
rnacentral:lncRNA from 1 species